AUUGAACGCUGGCGGCAGGCCUAACACAUGCAAGUCGAGCGGAUGAGAGGAGCUUGCUCUUCGAUUCAGCGGCGGACGGGUGAGUAAUGCCUAGGAAUCUGCCUAGUAGUGGGGGACAACGUUUCGAAAGGAACGCUAAUACCGCAUACGUCCUACGGGAGAAAGUGGGGGAUCUUCGGACCUCACGCUAUUAGAUGAGCCUAGGUCGGAUUAGCUAGUUGGUAGGGUAAAGGCCUACCAAGGCGACGAUCCGUAACUGGUCUGAGAGGAUGAUCAGUCAAGCUGGACCUGAGACACGGUCCAGACGCCUACGGGAGGCAGCAGUGGGGAAUAUUGGACAAUGGGCGAAAGCCUGAUCCAGCCAUGCCGCGUGUGUGAAGAAGGCCUUCGGGUCGUAAAGCACUUUAAGUUGGGAGGAAGGGCUCAUAGCGAAUACCUGUGAGUUUUGACGUUACCAACAGAAUAAGCACCGGCUAACUUCGUGCCAGCCGCCGCAGUAA
rnacentral:rRNA from 1 species